CGAGCGCCCGCCGGUCCCGUUAGCGCCGCCGCCGCCGCCGCUGCUGCUGCUGCUGGAGGAAGACCUGCCUGCUGCUGCGACUCUUCUCCUAAUGCUACAACCAUUCUCCUGUUCCACCUCUCUGUAAGGGAGCCUCUACCAACAGCUGAUGAAUGUGCUGGAUCUGCAAUUGCCCCAGGACACAGCAGUCAAGGCAGUGCUGUCUGAGGGUGUAGGUGACAUUGGCCUGAAAAGCUGUGAUCACAGAAAGUACUGCUCAGGGACCGGGAGAUGCGGGUCCUCACUGAAGCCUUCUUCUACUCCCAGUGAGCUGCUGCGACACUAAAUAAGGAUGCAAGGAGUGGACACAGCAAAGAGAGAAGCUAAGACAUGCCACUAAUUCUGCCAGCUGUAUGAAAUAAAGUGAUUACCCAAGGGAUUUUUUUUUUUUUUUCAAAUCUAGUCUUUUUUAUUUCUCAAAAAAAUUAGUAGUAACUUAUGACAGCAAUACAGACUUCUCCAACAGAGUAUCUUAGUAGGCAGUGUCCCUUUAAAUUAGACUUUUCUAAUCCAAUAACUAACUUCAUCAAGCAGCCAAAAUCAAUGCUUUGUAUUAGACAUGGACCCAAACCCAUUAUUCAAGCACGUACCUCCCUUCAGCUUUUAUCUCCCCUCGAGGGUUUUCAUAGUAAAGCAGGCUUUUUUUUUUUUUUUUUUUUAAUUAGCCCUUCUGCCCUCGAGUCUUCUAUUUGAUUUUCCAGUAUCCAGGGAAGUUGGGUUUUUUUUAACUACUCAAGCCUUGAAUAGAAAAUUUGCCUCUUAGUUCUUCAUUACCAGUGAUAAUAAAGCUUCAUGGAAGACAUUCCAGUGAUGCAGAGACAGAAGCGCACAAAGGCAAAGCAACACUUCAAAGGGGCAUUAGCUCUGAUAUCGGAAUCUCAUUCAUCUAACUCACUCCUAAAGGACCAGUUAACAAUUCACAGGAGCACAGUUCACACAUAUACAUCAAAUGGCAUGAAAGGCCCUUCGGUUCAGCAGAGCUGCCUGAUCUCAGUGCCCUUGAGUGUGUGGAGCUUUAUGAGUGUCCUUGCUGUAUUUUUAUUUUUCCUUGACUUCAUUUGGUUUCAUAUGGACAACCGACCACUUGCUUAGCUGUUCCUGUGUGUGUUGUGGAGGACCCAGAAAUGACUGUACAAGGAGUACAGUUAUUGUACGAGGAGCAAUCUGCAUGUUUGCAGUCUUCCCAUGUAUGCUGAGCAACCUGUGACCACUCACCGGCCAGCGACAUGACUGCCCAGGAGUACACCUCUGUAUCAUGAAUGCUGUGCCUUUGCUGUUUAAUCAUGGUGUACCUCAAUGUACACAUAAUCAAUGUGUAGCUAAUCAGUGUACAUAUAUUCAAUGGGCAUGAGUAUGUGUAUCGUGGCUUGUCUUAUCCACUGGAAAUAUUGCAUUAACUGUAAUUUUAUUAAUGAAGUAAGGGCAUCGGAGCGUAUUGGCCAAGGGACUCCUCAAAGCCAAGUCUACAUGCUGGACUCAACUGCUAUCAGCGACUGGUGAAUCUGUAUCAUGAGCAUCACCCUGUAAGAGCACUUGUGAGCUCAGAGCAGCUCAGAGGGGCUCAUCCCAGCGUCCCAUCAUUGAGGCAGAGGGGCUUAUCCCAGUAUGGGCUCAUCCCAGUUCGGGCUCAUCCCAGUAUGCCAUCACCGAGGCAGAGGAGCUCAUCCCGUGCUGCAGCAGCCGGGGUCCCAGCGGCAGAAGGGCUGUAAGAUUGCUAUCGCCGUUUCUGUUAUUUCCAUCCCUUGCACAAUAAACCCGUGAGCCAGCCUUGAGUGCUGGUGUAGAUGUUGCACCUCUGUGGUGCAAAACAGUGUGGUGCUGAGCUGGGUCAAAUAGACACACCCUCGGUAAUUUCAUGUUCUGGCAGGUAACUAAUGUAUCUGUCUCCUUCCCUUUACCAAAGGCUUAUUUCUGUGCUUAGCUGGCAACUGCCAAAGUCUCCACACCUUGCUGAAAAACUGGGAUGUGGAAACUGAGACGGAGAAGCUAAAGCUUUCAGCAAGAGAGAAGCUCAGGAGCCAGCACGAGUGGGAGCAAGGCCUUUGGUGAAGUUUUACCUCUGUUGUUUUCAAAUUAGGCACCAUUCCGUGAAGAAAACUCGAUGCAAAUUGCCAGCAAGUUGUUUUCUGGAGCACAAGGCAGUUUCAAGCAGUAACUUCAAAAGGAAACUGUUCUCCUUUUAGUGAAAGAAUAGCUCUGCAACCUAAAAGUAGGCAUUUAAAUAUCUAUGCAAAUUAUUUCACUCACUGAUCAUUUUGCUGCUGCUAAUGAGUUCAUCCAUAUAUUCCCAAAAUCCCCAAAGCCUUCAAACUUCAAUGUUGCACACUUUUGCAGAAAGCCACAAUAGCAGAUGAAAAACUGCAUAUGUUGAAAUAGUGUGAAGGAACUGAAAUGGCCUGAUAUAGCUGUCAGACAGAAUGUUUUGCCUUACUUUCUUGGUCCAAUAGGGUAAUUUUCAAAGUUAAUUGCUUCUUAGUGUAUGCCUGACAGAAGCGAGCUGCAGACCACUACGGAGGGCUCUGAAUUGUGUAUUAAUUUUCACACUUACUCUGUAUGUUUUCAUAUUUAAAUCGGGUUGCCACAGAAUCCCUGAUCCGUCCUGCCAGGGGGCUCCCGACAAAAGGAGACUUAGGGCAGAUCUUAGCACCCUCCUACGCGCCUCAUGGGUUUGGAGAUACGGUUUUCUUCAUUCCUCAUCCCCAGCAUGGGAGAGAAUUUCCCCUGCAGUUGUGCGUGCUCCCCUGCCACGCAUUCCUGCAGGGUCCACGCACGUGGGUGGGCUGGCCCCACAGGCAGAUGGUUGGCUUUGCAGCACCCCACAUGUACCUAUUUCUCUUUCAGCUCUCUGUUGGGACUCAAGGAGCUGUGGCUGGGAAGAGGAGGAUCACAGACCAGCUGUGCUGUGCUUCAGCCUGCUGUAGGGAUGUCCAUGCUCAGGGGAAGGCCUGGCUAUCUUUUCCUUGCCUCUCAGUAGCCCGUCUGGCUCUAGGUACACUAAGCCUACAGGCCCACCCUUGAAAUCUUUUCACAAGAAGUAUCAAUCUGCAGCAAACCACCUGCUUUUUGGCCGCUUUCUAUGCUUUUCUGCACAGAAGUGACUUGAGCAAACACCUUAGCCUUCAGCUGGCAGCAAGCAGAGCAGCCUACAAGGAAUAUGGACUGAAGCACCGGUCUUUGUGGCCAGGUCCACCUUGCCUCACGGCCACCCUCCAGACCUGAUUCCCCUGCAAGGGCAUGGACUUAGCUCUCCACAGCUGGUGGGAGUCCGUGGCGUGCCUGAUACGCCGAGGCACGUGGGCACCAGGGGCUGCCCACACGCCUGUCACCCACAGGUGGGCACGCCAUCUCAGCUUGUGCUAUGUUCCAUCCUCAGAAAGAAGGUAUCUCUUUGUUCUCCGUUUUUUCCAUGGGUUGUCAGGUUAAUGGUGGAUUUUAGCACGUUGCCUCAUCCGUGUGUGUUUCUGGUGAGUACAGUAGGCCAAGCCAGGCUAAUUCAUGCUGUACUGGAAAGUAACUGGAAAUCCCCGGAGUGGAGUGUCCCUGGUGCUUGUUCCAGCCUGUGCUGGGGGUUCCCAACCCCUCUGACCUGACACCUUACCUGCUCGUGUGAGCACUCGCAACCAUGGUCAAGUCCAACCAAGGCAGUUUAUUGUCAUAAAUCAGAGAUCUUUGCUAACAUAAGGAGGACGUAGGGACACAGGCUUCAUAAAUGUGUGAGCCAAGGAUUCUGUGUGCUCCAUGUUCUGAGGCUGGCCGGCUGACAACCUGCUCAAUAUUCUGCUCUUAAAAAUAUGUGCCAUGAAUGGCAUUUUUGAUACAGAUGAUUUGCUUGGGACAUUGCUAGAUGGCUGAAAGAGACGUUUCCCUCUGUACCCAGACCUUAGUUAAGAGCAUGCUAAACAUGCCAGGUAUGCAAGGUAUUAAAAACAAAUACUUAAUUCUUAUGAACUGUUUAGAUCAUUAGCACAUCUAAAAGCGCCUCAGGAAACAGGACUGCCUCAAGCCUUUAGCCUAUAUUUCUGCUCCAAGGCAAAAUCAAUUAGAUGUAAAACAUUUUUGACAGGCAUUUUCCUAGUCUGUUCUUAGAAACCUUCAGUGACAGAGAUUCAAUAAGCACCCCGGGCAAUCUCCACCAGUACCUCACAAUGCCUAGAGUUAGGAAACUUAACCUUCUGGUCUAAGUCUCCCUUGCUGCAGUUCACUUUUUGUGAAGAAGUUCACUUCUCCUGGUCCAGCCUGUGGUGGAAGGUCUAUUCCCUGCACAUCAGCAGCAGCAUCUUUGAGAUCUGCAGUCCUCAUUCUUCUCAAUCUUCUGUUUUCCUUUCUCAUCUCACUGAGCACUGUCCAUUUGUACAGUCUUUUCUCAUCAGUGGUGUUAUCUAGACAUCCCUCCCCUCCUGAGUCAUUGCGUUCCCCUGAACUACUGAAAUAUAUCAACUGCUUUUUUUGGUGUGCUGUUAGAUGCUCCAGCAGCUCUGUGGUACUCACAGUCUCUAAUGUACGACACUCGCUUAUCUGUGUGGAUCAAGUGCCUCCCUUUUUUUCACUGCAGCAUGGUAUCAUCCAUGCAGGUUAAACAGGGAACCAUCACCCUUAGGUCUUUCUGCAGAGCUUCUGUUGGGUGGGAAGACCAAGAACUACAGAAGUAAAAUGGCUAGUGCAGUCCCUCCAGAUCAGAGGCAGAGGUGGGAACAGGUAAGAGAAGAUUGAUUUUGGAGAACUGUGUGAAAAGCAGGGAAAGGCCAUGGGAAUGCAAGUAGCAGGGGUUCAGAGGAAAGCCCACAAGCUGUCUGUAGGAGUUCUUGUUGUCAGAGUUGCAGCCAGUUCCCAAACCACCCUCCUACGUCCCAGCCUGGCCUGGAGCUUUCACACUUUGCUCCAGACAAAACCAAAGCAGCUAUCCCAGCAUUUUCAGCCUUAAGAAGUCCACGAGGUGAUGAAGGCUGUACAAUGUCACGCUAAAUGGGGACCUUGGGUCACCCAGAUACACGCCUGGAGCGGCAUAUGGGUGGUUUUCUGCCACGCUGGAGCAGGGUUCAGAAGUGAAACCAGCCGGCAGAGCAAACCCUGCCAUGCCCCAGGGGGACGUCAGCCCUGGCUCGCGUCAACAAGCAGUGGUCCAGUCAGGUAAGCUGCCCUCAUUGAAAGCCAGAUCAUUUGGAAAUGAGAAAGUUCGGGUUUGAAGAAAGCCACCUUUUAUUUCCCCUUAAUGCCCUAUUGUUUGUCAGGCUCUGACAAUGCUGGAUCCCAUGUGCACAGCAUCCGUGUCGGGUCGGAAGGCGUACCCUGGUGAAAAGAUGCACAAGGCUGUCAUCUUGGCUGCGGAGAGACAAAAGCUCCAGGAGGCACUGCUGUGGGGAGCAGAGGGGACGUGGGGCCUUGCAGCUGUCACGCUCCGAGUGAAGCUCCCUAUUCACUCACCUCCUGCCAUCCGCGCUCAUCGGGGCUCCAGAUAUUUCCCCCUCCCUCUCCUUAUCACUGAUGAGCCCCCAGGGAGGCUAAUGCCAUACCCUCUCCUCUGCAGCAUGAACAAGAAGCUGUUCUGAGCUCAAUUUAGUAGGAAGCUUCACACCACUAAUCAGAAAAGAUCCAGGGUUUGGUUGGGGCUUUGUUGUCUGUUUUGUUGCGGGUCUGCAGCGAUGAGCUGGCUCUCGUGCCCCCAGCAGGGUUAAUUAUUUAUGAAUGUUCCACAGAGACCAGGUUCUGUCGAAAAAUGAUUAAGCCAAAUGCUCGCCGGCUGCACCGCUUGGCUGUUGUGGCAGUCGUUCUCGCUGAUUGCUGGCAGAGCAGGGUACGGCCCUUAUUAAAAUAGGUGGACUACCUAAUUGCCUCCUCUGGGAAAAAGAGGCCCUUUCCAAAUCCUCACCUGCUUGGAAAAUAUCAAACCUAAAAAAGCUAUUUAUAUCUAUCUUAAAAUACAUACACAGGUAUUUACAUGGCUGUAGUUAAUGCAUACACACUAGCAUGUGCACACAGGCAUUAGAGAAAGGUGCUAAUGAUGUUUUGAGUAUCUUCUGCAUGGUGCGAGACAGUGGGCGGGCCGGUGCCGUGGUGGUGGGUGGAUCUCACCAGGCACCACAGAGAAGACAGCUCGGUACAGAUGUGCAAGGGGAGAGAGAUGAGUAGCUGGUUCCCUUUGCGCCAGGCCCCGACGGAUAGUCCCUGCCUUGCUGCACCGUGGUGUCAUAGACCUUCUCCCAGUCUGUGGUCCCACAGGCCAGCCCCUCAGCAGGGGCAUAAGAGAGGCUGAUCGCUCUGUAUCUGCAAUAUUUUGCAGUAUUUGCACUCAAAAAAAAAGCAAGACCUCAGUUUACCAUGUGUCCUGGAGCACUGUUACCAGUAUUUUGCCCAGAGAUUUCUGGGGAGGGCUAAGACUGGUGAGUGGUGUGUCCAACUCAAACCUUUAUUUCCUAUCAAACGCUCAUACAUCCUAGACACCUGAUGUGGUACAAUCAGUGCCCUGCUGUAGACAUGGGACAGGGUGAGGAUGGAUGAGGCGGGGACAUUGACGCAGUCACUAUCUUCUGUUGUGCAGUAAGUGCUGACAACGGAGGCUCCAAUAUGUGAUGGAGACGUAUGUUGCGAGUCCAUCACUCUUUUGUUAUUUGAACAUCAAAUUUUGCUUUCCUGGAUGGCAGGUCUCUCCAGUUCAAGACUCGCUGCAGCUCCUGUUCCGAUGGCUGCAUGCAGCUUCUCCUCUGCCACUACAAAGAUAGUGGGCUAAAAAGAGAAUGAGGAGGCACAGCAGCCAUUUCUGGUCCUCCCAUAAAACUGUUUUUCUACAAAUUUACCUAGCUGAGCUAAACUUUGGGCACCCAUGUCCUCCUGUGUUAAGUAACAUAUUUCAUCACUGGGUAUGUUUUGGGUGAAGAAACACCUUUCACUUAUUUGAACCUGCCUCCUGUUAAUUCCGUGUAUCUCCUGUGUCAGAGGAGAAGGUGAAAACCUUUUUCCUGUUCUCCACCUUCGCAUCACUCAUAACUUUACAGAUCUUUAGUAUCCCCCUAUGCAUUUUCUCUUUCGCAGGAAAGAGUCCCCAAAACAUUUAUUAAUGUUAAGUUUUAUCCACCAAUUUACUUCCUGCUCCUCUUGCAACUCUUUGCAUGUGGCUUUCGUUUACACCACCUAUUAACCUGAGCUUUCAGACCCAAGGAAUUGGUGUAUCUUGGAGACCUAGCUCGUGUACACCACAAGUGAGAGUAGAGUCCUGCUGUGUUGGAAAGCCAGUUCAAAGCAGGUGGAUUUAUAACUCUUCUGAACAGAAAUUCCUAAAGAUUUCAGAAGCAGCUAGCCCCAGUCUGCUGGCUGAGCCUUGGACCUUAAAAGAGAGAGGAGCCACUCCUGGCAGCUGAUGGCUUUGGGAGAGGUGCGGGUCAUUGAUCAACGUGACUGGAUGCGUUUUCUGCUCUGCUGUAGUGCAGGGAUAGACCUGCACGAGACAUGUAGGGUCUUGCCUUACUCUGGUUUUCAGAGGAAAGAGGCUCUUUCUGCACUGCCACCAGUCUAUGAUAUUUAAAAGCCUUAAAACACUGGUAGCAAAGGGCAGCUGCCCAGGGGUUAGGUACAAAAAUAAUUUGGUUUUGUCCUGGAAUGCAGUUCCUCUCUUCCUAGGUUUUACAGUGUCAUGUGCCACCAGAGCAAAAGGAAGAUGCCUUUAUGAAGGCCUAUAAAUGAAACAUUUACAAAAAAAAAAAAUGGGGCAGCUACACUUAAGUGAUCCGUUGCUUCUCUCUGCCCUAGACAUGUCCCUUACAUGCCCAAAAGAUGGUUGAGGUGAACGAGGUAAAUGCUGAGCUGUGAAUUCCUGAGCCACCCAGCCUGUUACUAAUUACCAUGAUUAAAUAUUGACACAGUGACUGCACACAGGGCUCCCAGGCAGAGAUCAGUACCCCUCCAUGGCGGCGGCAGAGAAAUUCAGACAAAGAAACAGUUCCCUGAGCACUUACACUGCAAGACCCCAAUCCAUCCUACGGCUAGCAUCCCCUGGGGACCGCCAGCAGAUGUGAGAGCUUGCACAGCUCUAAGCAAGGGGCUGGUGGAGGUCAGGAGGCUUCUGAUCCAAAAUCAUUGCCUUUGGGAUUCCCCUUGCUGCUGCCUCCAGCAGCUGGUAGGGCGAGCGGGACGAGGCAGCACAGUGGGAUCUGCUUCCCCGCAGCAAAGAAAGGUGGUCACUCAGAAGAGUAGGGUUCUGCUGCUCUGGCUGCCAACCCCGGGGCAUCCUUGGGGAAGCUCCCCGACUGACCUCCCAGCCCCCCUUGGCUACCUCCCUGUACCCCUGCACAGGCUGGCAAGGCUGGUAGCUGCGUCCCCGCACACUCUCCCUCGAGCAUCUUGUACCCUGCUCUUUCAUGGGUCCCAGGUAAGAGAUCAGGACAAAAGCCUAUAAAUAUAUGCUUGAGAUCGCCCCUGUUCAUGAAACCAUUUAAUCAUACAUCUUGAGUUAAGAGUGUGCUGCACAGGGAUACACAGACUCACCCGACAUGGGAAGAUUUUGCUCAAGAAAGACUCGCCACCAGAAUGGGGAAGCCUCUGGAGGCUGUAGCUCUUUCUCCCCUCCCCUCCUCUUCCCCAGCACUGCUGGUUAAUGUGCUGGGCUGUGUGCCAGGGGAGCAGAUGUACUACUGCAUGGGUUCUCCUCCCCAUAGCAUGGCUGUGUCCAGGGCUGAUUUUGUCCAUGGUCAUUUUUUAAUACAGCAGCUGACUUGGCCACAAGUGCAAAAUAAAAUUUUGCAGAAAUUGGCAAUUGCAAACCACCCAAAGCCAUCUGCAGCCCCGAGCUCCUCCUCCUUUGGGAACCAGAAGCAGUAUCUGCAAAGCUCCCCUGUAUCCAGUGUGUGCACCAGCCAAAAUCCCAUUUCUUCUUCAUUGGAUCUUCCCUCUUCAUCUUUUCAAAUCAUAUUGGUCAGCCACAGAAGCCAGGAUGAGUCUGCACCAGGCUAGUACUCUUUAAGCAUCAGAAUAUUCAUGUUCUCAGCUCAACACUGCUCCCAUGCUAAGGUUUUUUAUGAAUGCUGCUUGUUACUUGUGUUAAGAACACCCACUACUCAUUGUUUGAAGCUCUAAAGAACUUCUGCUUUUUGGGCUAGAGCUUUCUUGUUCUGAUGCCAGGCAGAAAAGUACUUUCCAGGAGAAACAUUUAAUUUCAGAAGUGAUGAUAGAAGUGGUAGCAUUUGAGAUUACGUUUUCCGGAAAACACCAAAGAAACCAGUUUGUCUAUUAAUACAAAUUGUUGCAAGACACCAAUUUCUCCAUUCCCCUGGCUUCGCACUGCUGUGUCCAGCAGCUUUGCCCCGGCAGGGUGAGGGGCUGCAGCCCCCGCAGCCGAGGGGGGCCGGCCAGACCCACCCUGGCUCUGGCUCCCUCCCUUGCUCCCCCAGGAGUGGUUGGGAUGGGGGGAAAGAGGGAAGAAGCUUUGCUGCAGCCCCUUUCCCCAUGGGAGGUCAGAAACUGCAGAGAGAUGGAGGCAAGCAGUCGGAGAGAGGACUAAGGUACUUACUCGUGGUGGGGUUUUAUCCCCUUUUGGUGUAACCUGUGCUGGGGAUAGCCCAUGCUAGGAGCUAGUGGCAGCCCUGAAAGGCAUUCACAAUACCUCCUUAUUUGGGAUGAGGAGAGGAAAAAAACAGGACACAAUGUAUUUAUUAUCUACCCCAGAUGUAAUCAACAAGCUGUUAAUUAUCCAGCUGUAGCAUAUACAGCUGUAGCAUACAUGGCUUGUAUGGGAAACCAUUGUCUAAACAAAAUAUCAAGGAUGAUAUUCCUUUGGCUUGUGGUUUGCCUGAGCUUUAGUGUGAGCCUGGUACCUUUCCAGUUAAUCAGAGCUGAGCUGCUCCUCUUGGGGAGAAGCCUGAGCCCCCCCAGGUUUGCGGGUGGGUUAGGAGAGGGGUCAGGGAAGUUAGGUCGUGUUCCCCUCCACCUCAGACUCGUCCCCUGGCUCCAAGGGAGAUGCUGGGGCUGAGGGGGUUAUUCUAAUUCAGACAUAGGUCCCACACAUCUGCCUCAAUUACUUGUUUUUAGCAGCUGAGAGCUGCUCAGUGACCAGUAGCAGGAGAACUUAUCCAGUAGCAAUGACAGGGACAGCAAUGUGGGAAUUUGUAGCAAAGGAAACACACUUUGUCCUGAUUUCUCCAGGUCCUCUUGUGACCUUGAGACAACCAAAAGGAGCUUCAAUACAGUUCUUGCACUUUUAAUGAUUACCUUAAUAUUAGUUAAUUAACACAGUUGUGAAUUCAGGUACUUAAAUGUUCGUCGUUGUUCAUGUGUAACCACCUGCAGUUCAGGGUUAGCCACGACUCAGGACGAACAUCCUUGUCCAUAAACAAACAGCAGUGAAGCACAUCCAGGAGGACUGACAGACCGUCAUCUUAGGCAGCUUUUUGACUCGCAUUUCUUGCAGCAGUGGCUUCUUCCCUUGCUAUUCAUUGCCACUUAGGAACAUCAGCUACUGAUGUGGGGCCACGAGGUGAACCAGCCUGGGUUGGAAAUAACCUCGUCUGUAUGGGAGGUUGUUUUUAACACAAAUCAAGUCUCCAGUACUCUUUGUUGUAAGGCCUGACAAAUAGUCUCACUGGCACAACUGAGAGAGCAGGGCUGGAGAGAAAUCAAUGGCCAAAUGCAGAACGGAGUCCCACUUGAGCUAGACUGCCUCCAAAAAUGUGUAUGCCAUCCAGGUGCUAUUGUCUGCUAAUGCUGCUACUGCUGCUGCUGUGCAUGCAGGGGCUGCCUAUUGCACACACUCUUCAAAAUCCAUUUUGGCAGUGUGGUGAUAUACGCACCCUAAAUACUGAAAAACUGCAACUGCUACACGUCUGCUGAAGAGCUGAAUGUGCAACAGAGAAGGCAGCAGUUCAAAUGAUAGUCCCAAGCCUCGCUGCUGUUGGAUCCCCAGCGACUCUUUUACCUAGUUCCCAUUUUCUCUAGCUGUAUUCCCAUUUCAUUUAUUAAAAUGCAUAACAAAGAACUUCUAUCCUUAUUUAUGCAAAUUUGCAGCCAGAACUUUAAUUAUUGAAAGAAUAGCAUUGGCUUAAGUACAACUGAUCUGAAUUUUCUGAUGAAAUGCACCCAGAUUUUACUCUCCCCUUGAGAAUAGCUAAAUAAUUGGUAGUAACUUAUACCUCUACAAAUCAAGUACCUAUCAUCCACCUGCAUUUUUUUUCCCUUCUUUCUAAUCACCUUGCUCUCCUGCUUUCCAGUGGAGAAACCUCAAAUGCUUAAGUUUAGCCUGUAAAAGCUGUUCAUGGGCUGGCACAGGGUGUGAGCUGAGACAAAUGUUGUCCCAGGUUUCUGUCACUCCAGAAACCAUCAGUCCAACAAAGCCAGAAGCUGGUGUUACAUUAAGGCAUCUACAGCAUGUUCACUCCUAUAAAUACAUCACUUACAGUGGACACCUCUGUGGGUUGUCAAGGGGCAGGUUUGUAUUUAUGGCACCUAUUGAAUAAAAGGAGGGAAAAUUAAUUUCCUGUUCUGAAAUGACUCUCAAUUUUAUCAAAGGGAAAACUACAUCACAAGGCUGACUAGCUGCCUGCAAUUUAACAUACAGAGCUUUCCUAUUUAGCCAUUAAACAGAUUAUUCUCUGCUGGAUGGAUGUGUCAUUCCUGUUAAUGUUAAUGAUAGUCCCACAUAUGCUGUGACAGAAUAAAUGCCAAACUACGUAAACCAUUUACUCCCUAAAGGGAAAUGCAACUCUUUCAAGCAAUGUAGGAAUCUGCCAGCAAAGUGGUGGGAGCCCAGGAAGAGUGGAGAGAGCUUCUAGGGAGGCUGGGAUGUAGGGAGGUUGCUUUGCCAGCGAAGCCAGCCAAAGAUGUUCCCACCCAGCCAGUCCCUUUGGGCUCUCCUGCUCCCGGGGUGGGGGGGGGGGGGUGGGGGAAGCAACUGUAAAUGAGCUGCUAACACGACUGAGGUUUAAAACAGCCCUUCAGAAGAAACCAGAAACGUGGUUGCCCUCGUCGGCUUUUAACCCAGCUCGUGUCACAGUGCAGUUCUGCAGGUAGCCGUACCAGAGGCACCGGGAGCCGCAAACUGUGGCUGGAGGCCAGAAACGAGCCAUUAGGGCAAAGCUGGGGAGAAAACAUCCUCGGCCGGCGUGGGAGGGAGCAGGCGAGGCAGAGGAUGUGGAGCCAUGCCAGGGUGCCUGCCUUGGCACCACGGGGCAUGUCUGAGCCCCCUCCGCACGGUGACCCCGGCUCACAGAGCUGCGGGUGAGCUCUGCCUCGGCGGCAGCUCGCCCAGGCGCCGGCUCCGGCGGGGUUCUCGCCUGAGCCUUUGCCCGGGCUCGGAGGCAGGCUGGCCGGGCUUCCUGGGCCACGGCCACGUCCCUCAAGGUGCAUCCCUGUCGCCCGCCCUCCGGGGCAUCUCCGGCGGUCACGGACACGUGCCAGGGCAGCAUGACGGGGGACACCGUGACCCAGGAAAUCCUGAAGAGGGAAGGAGAAGGCUUUGCCAGAGCAUCUCUAGGAGCUCUCUGUGCAGCUGUGUGGAAAACAUAGGCAUGGUUCGUGUCAAGAUAGAGUAUGGUGUGGUAAGUGUAAUUGUCGUACCCUGUGCGGAUCCGGGGUGAGUUGUGAUCACUGUGACAUGUAUAGUAAAUGUAGUGAAUGUUGGAAUCAGAUUGAGAAUGUGUAAGAAUAAAAAAAAAAAAAGUACCUUUAACUUGAAACACUGUAAGCACUGCUGCCUUUUAGAAACACUCCUUACACCCACCCCAGAGCUGAUGCAAUAGCUGUUCAGAAAAAGCCUGCCGAAAGCUGAGACCCUGAGACUUUUAAAGGACCCGAGGAGAGGAAAGCGCACCAAGAGGUCGAAACCUUCAAACUUCCAAAA